UUUCCGUAGGUGAACCUGCGGAAGGAUCAUUACAGAGUUCAAGCCCGAAAGGGUCGACCUCCCACCCUUGUGUAUUAUUACUUUUGUGCUCUGGCGAGCUGCCUUUGGGCUUCGGGCUGUCAAGCUUGAGUACGCUCAGCAGUGGUUACUAAACCUCUUUUUAUUAAUGUCGACUGAGUACUAUAUAAUAGUUAAAACUUUCAACAACGGAUCUCUUGGUUCUG
rnacentral:misc_RNA from 1 species